ensembl:lncRNA
GGUUGUUCUCCUGGGAGGCUGAAGUCAAGGUGUCCCCAGUCAUCUGAAGACUUGACGAGGCUGCAGCUUUUCCUCCAGGUUCGGAAGAUCCCCUGGAGAAAGAAAUGGAAACCCACUCCAGUGUUCUUGCCUGGAGAAUCCCAUGGACAGAGGAGCCUGAUGGGCUACAUUCCAUGGAGUACCAGAGUCAGACAUGACUGAGUGACUAACACUUUCAUGAUUAUUUGUCCCACGUGACCUCAGAUCACCAGCUCCUGGGAGACAGAGCUGAGCCAAACCUCAGGGAUCCUAAUUCCCCAGCCAGGGAUCGAACCUGGGCCCUUGGAAGUGAAAGCACAGAAUCCCAACCACUGGACCACUGGAGAAUUCUCUUCACUUCACUUUCUGAUGGGUGGCCAGCCUCUGACACAGCCCUUUCUACUUUGUAAUGUUCCUUUGCACAGACUGCCUUUUUUCCUUCCCCAGCAAUUCAUAAGAGUCCGGGAAGUCAGAGGUUUCUAGAAAAUCCAAAAGGAAGAGGAGAAAAUGGUGGCGGAACAUUGUUUGGCCAAACAUCUUCAGACCUUCUGCCAGUUUACUCAGUGUCUUAGAACAAGGUGGUAGCAAGGAGCAGAAGCAGGACUCUGGUGGGAGAAGGGAGGGAGGUUCCAGAGGGAGGGGGCAUGCAUAUGCCUAUGGCCGAUUCAUGCUGAUGUAUGGCACUUCAGUUCAGUUGCUCAGUCGUCUCCGACUCUUUGCGACCCCAUCAACUGCAGCAUUCCAGGCCUCCCUGUCCAUCACCAACUCCAGGAGCUUGCUCAAACUCAUGUCCAUUGAGUCAGUGAUGCCAUCCAACCAUCUCAUCCUCUGUUGUCCCCUUCUCCUCCUGC